rnacentral:rRNA from 1 species
CCCUUUUUUUAAAGGUUCAGCUUCUAUUAUCUUUGAUAGUAGUUGUUUGGACAUUUCACUGUGAGAAAAUUGUGGUGUUUAAAGCAGGCGUUUCGCCUGAUCUUUUGCAGCAUGGUAUGAUGAAACAUGACAUUUUACGCUAUUGGUUUGCGUCUAAAGUGUAAUGAUUAAUAGGGAUGGAUGGGGGUGUUCAUAUUGGUGGGCGAGAGGUGAAAUUCGUUGACCCUAUCAAGAUGAACUUCUGCGAAAGCAUUCACCAAAUACUUCCCCAUUAAUCAAGAACGAAAGUUUGGGGAUCGAAGACGAUCAGAUACCGUCGUAGUCCAAACUAUAAACUAUGUCGACCAGGGAUCGGUUAAAAUUUUUUUAAAAUUUAAUCGGCACCUUGUGAGAAAUCACGAGUGUUUAGAUUCCGGGGGGAGUAUGGUCGCAAGUCUGAAACUUAAAGGAAUUGACGGAAGGGCACACAAUGGAGUGGAGCCUGCGGCUUAAUUUGACUCAACUCGGGAAAACUUACCAAGCUAAGAUAUAGUAAGGAUUGACAGACUAAAAGAUCUUUCAUGAUUCUAUAAGUGGUGGUGCAUGGUCGUUCUUAGUUGGUGGAGCGAUUUGUCUGGUCAAUUCCGAUAACGGACGAGACCUCGACCUGCUAACUAGUAGUAUUUAUUAGUCAAUAUGGGCGAUAGCUUCUCUGGGGUUUGGAAUGGUUUCGGCCAUCUCCUGCUUCAAGGAGUGUGUAGUCUGACUUGAUAGGUACGAAUUAAAAAACUUCUUAGAGGGACUACCUGCCUCAAGCAGGCGGAAGUCCGAGGCAAUAACAGGUCUGUGAUGCCCUUAGAUACCUUGGGCCGCACGCGCGCUACAAUGUAGAAAACAAAAAGGUUCCUGGUCCGGAAGGAUUGGGUAAUCAUUUGAAUUUUCUACGUAACUGGGAUUGAUCUUUGUAAUUAUUGAUCAUCAACGAGGAAUUCCUUGUAAGCGUAGGUCAUUACCCUAUGCUGAAUAUGUCCCUGCCCUUUGUACACACCGCCCGUCGCUCCUACCGAUCGAAUGAUACGGUAAAGUUAACGGAUCGUUUUAUCUUUGGCAACAUUGAUAUAAACUAAAAGUUAUUUAAAUCUCAUUGUUUAGAGGAAGGAGAAGUCGUAACAAGGUAACC